GGGGAAUUUUCCGCAAUGGGCGAAAGCCUGACGGAGCAAUACCGCGUGAGGGAUGACGGCCUAUGGGUUGUAAACCUCUUUUUUCAGGGAGGAAACAAAUGACGUUACCUGAAGAAUAAGCAUCGGCUAACUCCGUGCCAGCAGCCGCGGUAAGACGGAGGAUGCAAGUGUUAUCCGGAAUCACUGGGCGUAAAGCGUCUGUAGGUGGUUGAAUAAGUCAACUGUUAAAUCUUGAGGCUCAACCUCAAAACCGCAGUCGAAACUAUUCGACUAGAGUAUAGUAGGGGUAAAGGGAAUUUCCAGUGGAGCGGUGAAAUGCGUAGAGAUUGGAAAGAACACCGAUGGCGAAAGCACUUUACUGGGCUAUUACUAACACUCAGAGACGAAAGCUAGGGUAGCAAAUGGGAUUAGAUACCCCAGUAGUC
rnacentral:rRNA from 1 species